rnacentral:rRNA from 1 species
AACCCAAUGUGAACCAUACCAAACUGUUGCCUCGGCGGGGUCACGCCCCGGGUGCGUCGCAGCCCCGGAACCAGGCGCCCGCCGGAGGGACCAACCAAACUCUUUUCUGUAGUCCCCUCGCGGACGUUAUUUCUUACAGCUCUGAGCAAAAAUUCAAAAUGAAUCAAAACUUUCAACAACGGAUCUCUUGGUUCUGGCAUCGAUGAAGAACGCAGCGAAAUGCGAUAAGUAAUGUGAAUUGCAGAAUUCAGUGAAUCAUCGAAUCUUUGAACGCACAUUGCGCCCGCCAGUAUUCUGGCGGGCAUGCCUGUCCGAGCGUCAUUUCAACCCUCGAACCCCUCCGGGGGGUCGGCGUUGGGGACCUCGGGAGCCCCUAAGACGGGAUCCCGGCCCCGAAAUACAGUGGCGGUCUCGCCGCAGCCUCUCCUGCGCAGUAGUUUGCACAACUCGCACCGGGAGCGCGGCGCGUCCACGUCCGUAAAACACCCAACUUCUGAAAUGUUGACCUCGGAUCAGGUAGGAAUACCCGCUGAACUUAAGC